rnacentral:tRNA from 1 species
GCGCCAAUGGUUUAGUGGUAAAAUUCUCCGUUGCCAUCGGGGAGCCGGGGGUUCGAUUCCCCCUCGGCGCA